GCGAUCACACCAGCACUAAUGCAUCGGAUCCCAUCAGAACUCCGAAGUUAAGCUUGCUUGGGCGAGGGCAGUACUAGGAUGGGUGACCCCCUGGGAAGUCCUCGUGUUGCACCU
rnacentral:rRNA from 1 species